GGCAGCACCUAAAACACUUUGGCUGCUCUAAAAAGCAAGCAUGGACUUGAUUAGUAUUUGGAUUGGAGACCACCAGGAAAUCCCUGGGAUGUAGACU
rnacentral:rRNA from 1 species